rnacentral:rRNA from 4 species
AACUUUUAACAAUGGAUCUCUUGGCUUUUGCAUCGAUGAAGAACGUAGCAAAUUGCGAUAACUAGUGUGAAUUGCAAAUUCAGUGAAUCAUCGAGUCUUUGAACGCAUCUUGCGCUCAUUGGUAUUCCAGUGAGCACGCCUGUUUCAGUAUCAAAA